rnacentral:rRNA from 1 species
AACGAGCGCUGGCGGCAUGCCUAACACAUGCAAGUCGAACGAGACCUUCGGGUCUAGUGGCGCACGGGUGCGUAACGCGUGGGAACCUGCCCUUAGGUUCGGAAUAACUCCCCGAAAGGGGUGCUAAUACCGGAUAAUGUCUUCGGACCAAAGAUUUAUCGCCUUUGGAUGGGCCCGCGUUGGAUUAGCUAGUUGGUAGGGUAAAAGCCUACCAAGGCGACGAUCCAUAGCUGGUCUGAGAGGAUGAUCAGCCACACUGGGACUGAGACACGGCCCAGACUCCUACGGGAGGCAGCAGUGGGGAAUAUUGGACAAUGGGCGAAAGCCUGAUCCAGCAAAGCCGCGUGAGUGAUGAAGGCCUUAGGGUUGUAAAGCUCUUUUACCCGGGAUGAUAAUGACAGUACCGGGAGAAUAAGCUCCGGCUAACUCCGUG